rnacentral:pre_miRNA from 7 species
CUUCAGGGUUCCUGGGUGUCACGCAGAUCUUGGUGGGACCUCCAAAUGUUAGAACCUAGUGGGGAAACCCCCACUCCAUUCUCGAUCUGGCAUGUACCCCAGAAUCACAAACAGAAUG